rnacentral:lncRNA from 1 species
CUUAAGCGAAAUGCAUUAGUAUGUAUAAAGUGCUUAGAAGAGGGCCUGGAACAUAAAUUAUGAAACUGGAAAGGACACUAGAGACCACCUAGUGAUCAGACCCUGAAUCUUAUACAUGUGAAAACUGAAGUUCAGAGAAUUUACGUGAUUUAUCAGUGGUUGCAGAGCUUACUGGUGGUGGAGCUGGCAUUAGAAAUCAGGUCUUCUCACAUCUCAAAAGAUGACAUUUAUGCGGCCCACGAACACAUGAAAAAAAGCUCAUCAUUACUGGUCAUUAGAGAAAUGCAAAUCAAAACCACAAUGAGAUACCAUCUCAUGCCAGUUAGAGUGGUGAUUAUUAAAAAAUGAGGAAACAACAGAUGCUGGAGAGGCUGUGGAGAAACAGGAAUGCUUUUACACUGUUGGAGUGUAAAUUAGUUCAACCAUUGUGGAAGACAGUGUGGCAAUUCCUCAAGGAUCUAGAACCAGAAAUACCAUUUGACCCAGCAAUCCCAUUACUGGGUAUGUAACCAAAAGAUUACAAAUUAUUCUACUAUAAAGACACAUGCACACGUAUGUUUAUUGCAGCGUUAUUUACAAUAGCAAAGACUUACUUGGAACCAACCUAAAUGCCCAUCAAUGAUAGACUGAAUAAAGAAAAUGUGGCACAUAUACACCAUGGAAUACUAUGCAGCCAUAAAAAAGAAUGAAUUCAUGUCCUUUGCAGGGACAUGGAUGAAGCUGGAAACCAUCAUUCUCAGCAGACUAACACAGGAACAGAAAACCAAACACCGUAUGUUCUUACUCAUAAGUGGGAGCUGAACAAUGAGAACAAAUGGCCACAGGGAGGGGAACAUCACACACCGGGACCUGUCGGGAGGUAGGGGUAAGGGGAGGGAGAGCAUUAGGACAAAUA